AAUCCGUCGACUUUAGAAAUCGUGAGGC
rnacentral:tRNA from 1 species